GACAGAGGGGGCAAGCGUUGCUCGGAAUUACUGGGCGUAAAGCGUGCGCAGGCGGUUGUGCAAGACAGAUGUGAAAUCCCCGGGCUCAACCUGGGAACUGCAUUUGUGACUGCACGGCUGGAGUGCGGCAGAGGGGGAUGGAAUUCCGCGUGUAGCAGUGAAAUGCGUAGAUAUGCGGAGGAACACCGAUGCGAAGGCAAUCCCCUGGGCCUGCACUGACGCUCAUGCAC
rnacentral:rRNA from 1 species